AGCAGCCGCGGUAAUUCCGGCUCCAAUAGCGUAUAUUAAAGUUGUUGCAGUUAAAAAGCUCGUAGUUGAAUUUCGGGGUUAGCAGGUUGGUCGUGCCACUGGUAUGUACUGGCCUUGCUGAUUCCUCCCUCUUUAUGAGCCGUAAUGCCAUUAAUUUGGUGUUGCGGGGAAUCAGGACUGUUACUUUGAAAAAAUUAGAGUGUUUAAAGCAGGCAUGCGCUUGAAUACAUUAGCAUGGAAUAAUGAAAUAGGACGUUCGAUCCUAUUUUGUUGGUUUCUAGGAUUGACGUAAUGAUUAAUAGGGAUAGUUGGGGGCAUUAGUAUUCAAUUGUCAGAGGUGAAAUUCUUGGAUUUAUUGAAGACUAACUACUGCGAAAGCAUUUGCCAAGGAUGUUUUCAUUAAUCAAGAACGAAAGUUAGGGGAUCGAAGACGAUCAGAUACCGUCGUAGUCUUAACCAUAAACUAUGCCGACUAGGGAUCGGAUGAUGUUAAUUUUUAAUGACUCAUUCGG
rnacentral:rRNA from 1 species